UGCUUGGUAUGGUGAUUCCGGGCUGUGGUUGAACAUUCGCCUGGGGCUUUGACCCGCAAUGUCUCAAACGGUUGACCGUCUGCCGGCGGAGGGGGGUGUCGCUAUGUUCAGGAGGACAUGCUCUGCAACUCUAUUGGGUUUCAUCAGGAUCGGUGGAUUCCGCUUGGGGACCUCUCCUUGUUAGUUAUGGCUUCAUAUCCAGUGAUAGAAGAAUUAUCACUGGAUUCAGAGCUAUAACUAAGAACAAUUCCCUUAUAGAAGUAGUCAUCAACACUGCAUUAAGAAGAAAAAUAAAUGUUAUUUGGCAUGAUUAGAAAUCAUAAAAAACUUAGAAUGUAUAGGUAUAUCUCAAUUAGAUGAUGAUGAUCUCAAUUAUUUCUGCUAAGGGAUCAGCAUUAUUUCUGCAGGCCCAUUAGCAGAAAUAAUGCUUAGAUCUUUGGAAAAUCAAUGUAUCCCAACUUCCAUCCAACUUUAAAAUUUUACAUAAGAUUUGUAGAUGAUGUUAUAACAAUAUGGGAGAACAACACAAGACUAGAGGAUUUCACUAGUGCCUUUACAUUAGAUAUUUGUGGUGUCUCCUUAAGAAAUGAACAACAAAGCAAACAUACUGCAGGUGCAAUUAACAGGAAAUCAGAAAUGACUAUAUAUAGAAAGCCAUCCUGUGAACCAGUCCUUAUAUCUAAUUAAUCCCAGGACCCUAUAAGCUAUAAGAAGGAAGCAUCCAGAUCCUUCUUUAGAGAUGAUCACAUAUUGUAUUGAACCAACAGAUAUGAAGCAAGAACUCAAAUACAUUAUGAAUAUAGAGAUACAACAUGGCUCUUAUAAAUCAUUUUUACAAAGUAUACUGAAAUCGGUACAAAGUAAUCUUAUCAAUAUAAGUACUAACCAUCUAGACUCUAGAGAUAACUCAUCUCAAAAUCCAGCAAGAAAGUUAUCUACCUAUAUUAUGCUGUAUACUCUGAGAAAAUUUAAUUUUGUAGAUAAGAUAACAAAAAAGUGCAACAAAUGAUUAGCAAUACAGAGAAGACUAAUCAUUUUUAACCUUUUGAGAAAUGAAAAAAGACCCCUUAAAUGAUUUAGAGAAACAAAGUGUCUACAAAAUUCCCAUUGAGAAUACAAAGAUCCACUAACCAGCAUCUUACAUAGGAGUAACCACUCAAACCCUCUUCCAAAGGCUUGAAGAACAUAAACAGGAUAUAACCAAAGGAAAGCUAUCUAGGAAAAUAACAUAAGUUUGAUCAGAUAAUGUUUUCAGCUGUUCUAUAGCCAUCAUCAGUCGAACGUGUACAAAGUGUUCUGUGGAU
rnacentral:lncRNA from 1 species